UCGGGAAUUUUGGGCAAUGGGCGAAAGCCUGACCCAGCAACGCCGCGUGAGGGAUGAAGGCCCUCGGGUCGUAAACCUCUGUCGGGAGGGAAGAACGAUCGCAAGGUGAAUAAUCUUGGGGUCUGACGGUACCUCCAAAGGAAGCGCCGGCUAACUCCGUGCCAGCAGCCGCGGUAAUACGGAGGGCGCAAGCGUUGUUCGGAAUCAUUGGGCGUAAAGCGCGUGUAGGCGGCUUGGCAAGUCGGGUGUGAAAUCCCGGGGCUCAACCCCGGAACUGCAUUCGAUACUGCCUCGCUAGAGUCCCGGAGAGGAGGGCGGAAUUCCCGGUGUAGAGGUGAAAUUCGUAGAUAUCGGGAGGAACACCAGUGGCGAAGGCGGCCCUCUGGACGGUGACUGACGCUGAGAUGCGAAAGCGUGGGGAGCAAACAGGAUUAGAUACCCUGGUAGUCCACGCUGUAAACGUUGGGUGCUAGGUGUCGCGGGUAUUGACCCCUGCGGUGCCGACGCUAACGCAUUUACG
rnacentral:rRNA from 1 species